AGUGGCACGGAUGCCACUGGUUCAACCAGAAGCGAUGUUUCGUGUGAGCGUGAAACUCGCAGUCAAAACUGUACACGGACGUAUAGUUUUGACGAUGU
rnacentral:sRNA from 1 species